rnacentral:rRNA from 1 species
GCGACCCCAGGUCAGGCGGGAUCACCCGCUGAGUUUAAGCAUAUCAAUAAGCGGAGGAGAAGAAACUAACAAGGAUUCCCUUAGUAACGGCGAGCGAACCGGGAAGAGCCCAGCUUGAAAAUCGGAUGUCUUUGACGUUCGAAUUGUAGUCUGGAGAAGCGUCCUCAGCGACGGACCGGGCUCAAGUUCCCUGGAAAGGGGCGCCAGAGAGGG